UACGUAGAGUGCAAGCGUUAUCCGGAAUUAUUGGGCGUAAAGAGCUCGUAGGCGGUUUGUCGCGUCUGCUGUGAAAACCCGAGGCUCAACCUCGGGCCUGCAGUGGGUACGGGCAGACUAGAGUGCGGUAGGGGAGAUUGGAAUUCCUGGUGUAGCGGUGGAAUGCGCAGAUAUCAGGAGGAACACCGAUGGCGAAGGCAGAUCUCUGGGCCGUAACUGACGCUGAGGAGCGAAAGCGUGGGGAGCGAACAGG
rnacentral:rRNA from 1 species